AAAUUCACACAUUCCUCUUCUUCCCCAAAAAUUUUAGAUUUCCCUCUCAUAUUCACAAACAAUUGGAAAUUUAUCUCUCAUAAUCGAUCGUAUCCUCCGCUCAAUUCCCAUCCCCCAUCUUCCGACCAGACUGUCAUCUCCUCAAAUCGAUUCCCGCCACUGCCUCACUAAUUAAUCACGGAUGAGCUACCGACGAUCCACCACUUCACCACCAGAAAAUCAUCAUCGAUGCUCGAUUCCUUGACGCUAAACUUGUCAUCGCUUCAAUCCUCACUACAGCCCUCGACAGUCCAUCUCCAGAUCUCGUGUAGUUAAAAGAUAAGUUUUCUCAUAUGCCUAAUUUCUGUUUGUUUAUAAAACACCGACUAGGAAUGGAGUUGCUAGUAUUGAAAUCCUAAAGUGGACAUGACUAGACGGGUCAUGAUCGUGGGUUCAACCCGAACCCGAUAAUCGUAUCAUACAUAUGAACCCGAACACGAUCCGAAGUUUCGUGGGUAACCCGAACAAGACCCGUUAAACCCGAAAUCUUUUAAUUUUUGUCUGAAAUUAAUAUAUUAAAAUUAGAAUUUACUUAAAAACACAAAUGCUCGAAAAUCGAAAUGCCCAAUUAACUUCAAUAUGCCUUCAGCAACAUAUCUUGAAAAAACUCAGUCUUGAUUGAAAACUUAUUCCUUAUUAGUUAUAAAUUAAUCAAAUGCUACAUAAGUUCCUUACUUAAGAACUUCUUAGUGAUUUGGUGGUCUAUCAGUAACUUGCUAAAGUUACUCAUUGGAUGUUUAAAUGUCAAAUAGAAACCAAAUGUAUGAAUUAGGUUUAUAACAAUAAAAGUUUGGAACGGGCCCCAAAGUUUAACUUCAUUUUGGGGCUCCAAAAUGGUUGAGCCACCCCUGAUUUUAAUGAAUUACAAUUGAUUAUCUUGAUCGUGAUUAUUAGUGUUGCAUAAUGAGUUUAAAGCACACAACCAAACACCUUCUAUAUUUCAUCAACUUUUGUCCAAAAUUCAAUCUUUGCUGACAUAUUGUUGGGGGAUCAAUGGAAGUUCUGAUAAGAUGUUUUUAUAGACUGAAAACCGCAACAAGGUAAAUCAUUAUUUAUGAACUCUUGUUUCUUUUAAUUUCAUUGAUAAAUUUGUCGACUGUUGUUUUCAAGGGGGUCAUCUUUUGCUGAAAUAUUAUUAUAUGUUUAAACUUUGGGGCAACCACAGGUCUCAUUGACCUGUUUCUUAAAAGUUGUUAUCUACAUAAGGUUGGUUUAGUCAUAUUUGAUACCUUUCAGAGGUUAAUAAUUAAAUUUAGUGUAAUUUAUGUUUUAAUACUUAUCUGUGUAACGGUAUUAUUAUUUAGAUUAUCAUAUUUUGAUAGGGAAUAAACAAAUUAUCAAAAGGUUUUAGCUAGAUUGGAUUACGAAAGAGAAUAAGGAAGAACAAGUGAAUAGAUUUUAUUGCAGUGGAAUUAUAAUAGUACUGAAAGGAAAUUACAAAUAACCAGGGUUACACCCUCUCUCCAGGAGCCACUAAGUCAUAAAAAAUCUAAGAGCAUUAUUCCCUACUACUUAUACUCUCUCACCUCUAACAAACUCUCAAUCACAUUUAGAAAGUACCCCUUUACCCCUUCUAGAAAUAACUCUGGCUUUGCUUUAGAAAUAGUUACGGUAUCAACCGUAUUAGAUUAAUUACAUACUCGAUCAAUGGUUGUACUUACCUAAACUUUACGUGUAAUGACUUUGUGCAUCUAAAGGUGAGGUGGGUGCUAAUUACUUCUUUUUUAAAUUAUUUACCUUUAUAAACUUCCAGAAAAAUGCAGGUAAUCUUUGUUUCUAUUUGUUAAUUUUUGUCGCAGGUGGAUUUCUUCAUGUCAAGCAAUAUUAUUUUUUUUUUCUCACUUGUUAUCUACUUGCUAAGAAAGGGGUCUAUAAAAACUUGUUAUCCUUUAGUAAGGUAUUUAGUUUCUUAAACUUAAAUGUAUAGGUGGGAAUUGCAAUUCGUUUGUAGGUAAACGAGUUAGUUUGGUUAUAUACAUAUUUACUAUUAACGGGUUAAAUGGGUAACCUAAUAAAAAAAGUUGUACUUGAAUUAGGUUAACCCUUAAAAGGGUUGAGGCCACUCGAUGAUUAAUUGCUAUGCAUUAAAUCACGUUCUCAAAUUUUUGACAUCCAUGUGAUAAUAUAACUUAUACAUGGUGUUAAAAACAUCAGUUCAUAAAUUUCUGGACAAGAAAAUACAAAGAGUGUUUGCGUGUUGGCUUAACCCACCGGCACUAGAAAUCUACACAUUAUGACUUGAGUCAUUGACUAUCAACCCAACCUAACUGACCACCUAUCUUUCCUCAGUAUUGGUACCGAUUUUGUUCGAUCGGAAUCUGAAGAACAAUUAUUUUGCCAGCUAUAGGAAAUCGAUCGGAAUCUGAAGAACUAUUAUUUUACCAGCUAUAGGAAAGUAAACUAUGAAAGUAUAUAUUUUUCAUAUAUGAUUUAUGAAGUUUUGUUAAAAACAUCUGAAGGGUGUCCAAAACAUGGACGUGCUUAUAUAUAUAUUUUUACAAUCUUCAGUAUAUAAAAUAUACUGUUAUAAUACUAAUACUUGUUUAUAUGGUUGAUGAUGGCAGGGUAGAUAUCAUGCAGCAACUUUGAGCUAAGUUUUUUGAAGUUCUCACCCAAAAGAACAUGUAGACUCCUCAUGUAAAUAGUUAGAAUUUGGAAUUUGUUACUUAUUACACAAUGUUUUGCUAACAUUUGCAAUAUGUUUCGGAUCAAACUUAUUAUUGAAGUUAUAAUAUUAUGCUUUCUACCUUU
rnacentral:lncRNA from 1 species